CAAGGGCUGCACACAUCAUUGUGCCCUGUACGAGAGUACAUUCCUGAGGAGGAGAAGAGAAGCCCAAAUCCAUCUGUUUUUUUGCUUGGCUGACUGUAUGAUCCAGCCCAGCCCACAUGAGCCAUAGGAAAUGGCAUCUGCCCAGAAGGGUUCCUGUUCCCACUAGGAGUGCUUUGCACUUCCUCAGUAAGUGCUGAACAAGGUCCUUGGAGGAUAGAUGUGAGAAAUGAGAAAAGAUCAACAAAGAAGAUGUGCCAUGAAUUCCAAAAUCUGUGGGAAAGAUGAAUGCUAGUGGUAAAAAUAAACAUAAAGAAAUUCCUUGUUGUUUGGAAAAUGAGCCUGGUAAAAGAAUGCUUCACUUGCUAUGAAGUAUAUGGCAUGAACCUAAAUAAAGUCCCAGGAAGAGGAGCUUAAAAGGCUUCAGAUCUGACCUCACUGCAUAAUUUUAAUUUUAAUGAGACACAUCAAAUAUGCAUCAAAAGCAAGAAAAUGGAUAUGGGAAUAUAGCAGAAACUCAGAAGA